rnacentral:rRNA from 1 species
CCUACGGGCGGCAGCAGUGAGGAAUAUUGGUCAAUGGACGGAAGUCUGAACCAGCCAAGUAGCGUGAGGGAUGACUGCCCUGUGGGUUGUAGACUUCUUUUGUAGGGGCAUAAAAUGUUGCACGUGUGUGGUUUUGUAUGUACCCGGUGAAUAAGUAUCGGCUAACUCCGUGCCAGCAGCCGCGGUAAUACGGAGGAUCCGAGCGUUAUCCGGAUUCAUUGGGUGUAAAGGGAGCGUAGACGGCUGUGCAAGUCAGUUGUGAAAGCUCGAGGCUCAACCGUGAGACUGCAGUUGAAACGGUGAGGCUAGAGUAAAGGAGAGGCAGGCGGAAUUCGUGGUGUAGCGGUGAAAUGCUUAGAUAUUACGAGGAACUCCGAUGGCGAAGGCAGCCUACUGGACUGUAACUGACAUUGAGGCUCGAAAGCGUGGGUAGCAAACAGGAUUAGAUACCCGGGUAGUC